rnacentral:rRNA from 1 species
AGUGAACGCUGGCGGUAGGCCUAACACAUGCAAGUCGAACGGCAGCACAGUAAGAGCUUGCUCUUACGGGUGGCGAGUGGCGGACGGGUGAGGAAUACAUCGGAAUCUACUUUUUCGUGGGGGAUAACGUAGGGAAACUUACGCUAAUACCGCAUACGACCUACGGGUGAAAGCAGGGGAUCUUCGGACCUUGCGCGAUUGAAUGAGCCGAUGUCGGAUUAGCUAGUUGGCGGGGUAAAGGCCCACCAAGGCGACGAUCCGUAGCUGGUCUGAGAGGAUGAUCAGCCACACUGGAACUGAGACACGGGCCAGACUCCUACGGGAGGCAGCAGUGGGGAAUAUUGGACAAUGGGCGCAAGCCUGAUCCAGCCAUACCGCGUGGGUGAAGAAGGCCUUCGGGUUGUAAAGCCCUUUUGUUGGGAAAGAAAAGCAGCAGGUUAAUACCCCGCUGUUCUGACGGUACCCAAAGAAUAAGCACCGGCUAACUGCGU